UGGACAAAGGGAAAGGGUGGAUGCCGAGGGGCAAGGGAGUGAACGGUGCUAGACGUGUUCUGUUUCCUUCUCCAGAUUCACUCUCUUCUCCUCUUCCCUUUCCUCUCCUCUGUUCUCUACUGUGAAUGGCAGAUCUAUGGGGGCUGGACCAGUGGAGUCUCCUGCUUCUGUGGCCUCUAGGGGGUUCAGUCAAUGGGGAACCUCAACUGGAGACCAGAGUGAGGACAUCAGUUUGGAAUUUUAGUUCCCCACUUCCCUCCCCAGUAUCAUUGCGGGCUGGACGCGUUUUUCAGCCUGAGAUGGGAGCUCUUGUUAGGCAACCCUCUCUGAAUAUCUCUCUCUUUCUGUCUCCGGCUCUCUCUCCAGCUCUCUCUGUCUCUUUCUGUCUAUGUCUCUCUCUCUCUCUCUCUCUCUGUCUGCAGAUUCCAGCAGUGGCUCUUCUCCUCACCCUUUUUGGGCUAUGGUGGUAAGAGAUACCCAAUGGUAACAGCUCUGGGAAAAUGCUAACCCAUUUUUUUCUGGAGUUCUCU
rnacentral:lncRNA from 10 species